CUGUACUUUUAUUUUGCCCUGUUGUGCUUAGUUUAUGUCUUGAAAUUUGCUCGUAUUAAAGUACAACAAAUUUCGCUCAACAGCUUAAUGGAGCUUACGUUGUGUAGAAGGUCAUCAGAGGAAGAACAUUGGAAAGAAGGGGAAAAAAAUUCCAAGAGCUCAAAUUACAACUUAAAACGAAGAGUUGACACAUGGAUGGGAAGAGGAGAGAGACAGUUGCUUCAUGUACAGCACACAAUCUCUCAGCUGAUUGGCUCAAAGAACAGAUUUGCUCCAUAUGUCAAAAAUUGGACAACAUGGAAUUUCAUUUUUCAAAGAAGUCAAUGAUUUAUGAAAAAUAAACUCCAUCAGCACCAGACCUGGAAUCA
rnacentral:lncRNA from 1 species